UGCCCUUGACAUCCCAAGAACCUCCGGUAAUUCGGAGGGUGCCCUUCGGGGAGCUUGGUGACAGGUGCUGCAUGGCUGUCGUCAGCUCGUGUCGUGAGAUGUUCGGUUAAGUCCGGCAACGAGCGCAACCCCUGUCCUUAGUUGCGACCACAUUAUGGUGAGCACUCUAAGGAGACUGCCGAUGCAAAUCGGAGGAAGGUGGGGACGACGUCAAGUCCGCAUGGCCCUUAUGGGCAGGGCUACACACGUGCUACAAUGGGCGGUACAAAGGGUUGCGAACUCGCGAGAGUGAGCCAAUCCCAUAAAGCCGUCCUCAGUUCGGAUUGGAGUCUGCAACUCGACUCCAUGAAGC
rnacentral:rRNA from 1 species